GACGAACGCUGGCGGCGUGCUUAACACAUGCAAGUCGAACGGCAAGGCCCUGCUUUUGUGGGGUGCUCGAGUGGCGAACGGGUGAGUAACACGUGAGUAACCUGCCCUUGACUUUCGGAUAACUUCAGGAAACUGGGGCUAAUACCGGAUAGCAGCUCCCGCUGCAUGGAGGGGGUUGGAAAGUUUCGGCGGUUGGGGAUGGACUCGCGGCUUAUCAGCUUGUUGGUGGGGUAGUGGCUUACCAAGGCUUUGACGGGUAGCCGGCCGGAGAGGGUGACCGGGCACAUGGGGACUGAGAUACGGCCCAGACUCCUAUGGGAGGCAGAAGUGGGGAAUAUGACACAAUGGGCGGAAGCGUGAUGCAGCAACGCCGCGUGCGGGAUGACGGCCUUCGGGGUGUAAACCGCUGUCGCCUGUGACGAAGCGUGUGUGACGGUAAUGAGUAAAGAAGCACCGGCUAACUACGUG
rnacentral:rRNA from 1 species